rnacentral:rRNA from 1 species
AAACGGGUGAGUAACACGUGGGUUACCUACCUCCUAGAUGGGGAUACCAAUUGGAAACGAUUGUUAAUACCGAAUGUGAUCUAUGGAUUAAAGAAGCCUUUAAAGCUUCGCUAGGAGAUGGGCCUGCGGUGCAUUAGAUGGUUGGUGGGGUAAUGGCCUACCAAGUCGACGAUGCAUAGCUGAACUGAGAGGUUGGUCGGCCACAUUGGGACUGAGACACGGCCCAAACUCCUACGGGAGACAGCAGUUAGGAAUAUUCGUCAAUGGGGGAAACCCUGAACGAGCAAUGCCGCGUGAACGAUGACGGUCCUCUGGAUUGUAAAGUUCUGUUGUUUGGAA